rnacentral:tRNA from 1 species
GGUUUCGUGGUCUAGUUGGUCAUGAUUUCUCGCUAACACUGAAUCGCUCUUCUAGAGAGCCCAGGUGUGGGUCCGAGAAGGUCCCCGGUUCGAGCCCGGGCGAAACCA